UCCUUAAACAUAACCCUUUCUUCAAGUUGCGUCCAGCUCUCGCUCUGAAGCCAGAAGUAUUGAAAGAAAUCCGGGAAGCCAAAGAAAGAGAGGAAGAGCUGCGCAGACAGAGAUGCACUUUGUACGGAGAAAACGGGAAAAGUAAUGAAAACGAAGAAAAAUCACGAUUCGAAGCAAUGCUCGCACCAGUUAUCAGGAAACAGUCCAGUCGGAAACUGGAACGAGUUUGGCCGCCGCCGUCCAAGAAAUCUGAACAGCAGGAGGCAAAAGUUCAAAGAGCAGGAGGUCAGAAAACUCUGUGGCAACGCUGGGAGGCCGGCCUGAUCAACGGGAAGCCGUCAAAGGAAAAUAACUGACAACCAGAUGUCUUCGAGUCUACAAAGAUCAAAAAUAAAUGUCAAUAAGCUACGAUGCUAGAGCUGCAUAUGUGCAAGAUUAAUCAGCAUUUGCAGAAUCAUGAAGGUAGUUUCAGUUUCUGGCUGUUCUUACUCUGCUUUGUAUCUGUGUCCAAAUACUUUUUGUGAUUUAUUUAAACACUGUUAAUCAGCAUGUAAAUAAAGCUUAAGUAUCAUUCUCCAUCAUGUUUAUGUUUAUGUAAAUGAUACAUGUCUAUUAACUGUAGUCAUACUGUUUAUGGGAAGACAAAUCUCCACUUACAGUUGGCUACAGACUCACGUUUCUUUCUCCACAAGAUCUAAAUGCAAAUUUCAACUGUAUUUCUUUCUUUGGAUUGAUAAUAAAUUAAAAGGAUAGA